AGUGUACGUUCAUGCAGAGCACAUUUUUCCACGGAUGUGAUCUGACAUAUCAUUUCAGAUGCUUAUUUAGAGGCCAGAAUUCCAGGUUUAGGAAAAUGGCAACGGUAUUUCAGAGUCGCUAGCAAUUUCCGCAAAAGAAGUUGAAUAAAAUUGCUCAACUGGCAUAUCGUUGAGUUCAUAUACAACCAA
rnacentral:lncRNA from 1 species